ACAACAGCACACACCUCCACCCUCUUUCUCUCUCUUUCUUUCGUUCGGGCCGUCAAGAACUUCUCUGAAUAUCUUCCACUGAGCCAUUAAAAAGGGUUGAUCGUGAGGACGGAGGAGUUCUGGAGAGCGAUCAUCCUGGAAAAUCUCUCAGUCUGAUUCCGGGCAAAGUUUCCCUUAUUUCUUGAAGGGAACCCGAGUCGAUCGCUUCGAUAGUCAAAACCUAGUGAUAUAUAUGUUUUGCUAGGGUUUUUGUAGUGCUUAGUUCUCUUUCGUUGUUGCAAUCAUCUUGCAAUGGACGGGAACAAAGACGAGGCUUUGAAGUGCCUGAAAAUUGGACAAGAAGCUCUGGAACUAGGUGAUCGAACUCGUGCGCUGAAAUUUAUCACGAAAGCUCGCCGGCUGGAUCCAACUCUUCGUGUCGAUGAUCUCUUGUCGAAGGUAGAAAGUGAAUUUGGUGAUCCUCCGGCUCCGGAUUCAUCCCCACCAAAUGGUGUUUUCCCCGACGAAGCAACCUCUUCUAACGGGCCUGCGGCUAAUUCUUCCGUUAGGCAUAGAGGCCCUUCAAAUGGGUCUUCGUCGACUUCUGCUGCGUCUUACACAGAGGAGCAGAUCUUGAUUGUCAGACAGAUAAAGAAGAAGAAGGAGUACUAUGAUAUUUUGGGGUUAGAAAGAGGAUGCUCUGUCGAAGAUGUCCGGAAGGCAUAUCGAAAACUGUCUCUGAAAAUUCAUCCUGAUAAAAACAAAGCUCCUGGUGCUGAGGAAGCAUUUAAGGCGGUUUCAAAAGCAUUUCAGUGCCUUAGUGAUGAAGAGAGCAGGAAAAGGUACGAUCUUGUUGGUUCGGAUGAAGCCGUAUAUGAUAGACCUGCAGCUAGGCGAGGACCACAAGGUUUCAAUGGCUUCUAUGAGGCAGACGUAGAUGCUGAGGAGAUCUUUAGGAAUUUCUUCUUUGGUGGGAUGCCUCGGGCAACCACGCAGUUUGGUGGGUUUACUUUUGGUACUGGCACGGGACCAAGUGUAAGAACGGCUGAUCAAGACUCUGGAAACUUCAAUGUCAGGGCGAUUCUUCAGUUACUGCCCAUUCUUCUCCUGCUUCUGCUGAACUUCCUCCCAUCUUCAGAGCCCAUUUAUGCUCUAUCUAGGUCUUAUGCUUAUGAACACCGGUUUGUCACUCAAAAGGGUAUCAAUUAUUUUGUUAGGACGGCAAAAUUUGAUCAAGAGUACCCUCCUAAUAGCCCAGAACGUGUGGAGAUUGAACGACAAGUUGAGAGAGCCUACACGUCGAAUCUUGCACAAUAUUGCCAGGUUGAGUUGCAGCGGCGCCAAUGGGGUUUCACGAUUGAGACACCUCAUUGUGACAGGUUAAAAGAGUUGCAGGCAAUGGCUUGAUGUACAUUCAAGCGGACCAUCUUUCACAUGCUGUGCAUGGAUAUGGUGUAGAUUUAUGCUUCGUGGAUGUGUGGAUUGCUAAGCAUCUGAUGUUUACUUAAGUGGAUGGAAACUUUGAAGAUUUUAGAUUGUUUGAACACUAUUAUUUCAAAGACUACUAUUAUUAAGAUACCCUUGGAUGUGUUUGAUCAAACUGAGGAAAUGAAGAGGAAAGCAACUAGUUUUGAUUGCAGAACACACUCCCUCCCUUUUGUGAUCUGAUUCACCCCUCCACCCCCCCUCCCCUUCCCCUUUUGAACACCACUCGAUAUUCAUGGGAUAGUAAAAUUUCUGUUACAUGGACAAUGACUGUACAACGUACAAUAGUUUGUAAUUUUCAUGUUGCAUUCUGGGUAAACAUGAAUUUAUCAA